AUACGGAGGGUGCAAGCGUUAUUCGGAAUCACCGGGCGUAAAGGACGCGUAGGCGGGUUGGCAAGUCAGAUGUGAAAUCCUACAGCUUAACUGUAGAACUGCAUUUGAAACUGCUAACCUAGAGUAUGGGAGGGGGAGAUGGAAUUAGUGGUGUAGGGGUAAAAUCCGUAGAUAUCACUAGGAAUACCGAAAGCGAAGGCGAUCUCCUGGAACAUAACUGACGCUAAGGCGUGAAAGCGUGGGGAGCAAACAGGAUUAGAAACCCUUGUAGUCC
rnacentral:rRNA from 1 species